UACGUAGGGACCAAGCGUUUGUCCGGAAUCAUUGGGCGUAAAGAGCGUGUAGGCGGCUUGUUAAGUCUUGCGUGAAAUCUCGGGGCUCAACCCCGAGCGGUCGUGAGAAACUGGCAGGCUAGAGUGCGGGGAGAGGAGAGUGGAAUUCCUGGUGUAGCGGUGAAAUGCGCAGAUAUCAGGAAGAACACCCGUGGCGAAGGCGGCUCUCUGGAACGCAACUGACGCUGAGACGCGAAAGCGUGGGGAGCAAACAGG
rnacentral:rRNA from 1 species